rnacentral:rRNA from 1 species
AGGACGAACGCUGGCGGCACGCUUAACACAUGCAAGUCGAACGAGGUCCAUCCACUCGCAAGAGUGGUGAAGACCUAGUGGCGAACGGGUGAGUAACACGUGAGAAACCUGCCCCGAAGACCGGGAUAACUCACCGAAAGGUGAGCUAAUACCGGAUGCCUUCACGACGUCUCAUGGCGAUGUGAAGAAUGGAUUCCGCUUUGGGAGGUCUCGCGGCCUAUCAGCUAGUUGGUGAGGUAACGGCUCACCAAGGCGACGACGGGUAGCUGUUCUGAGAGGAGAUCAGCCACACUGGGACUGAGACACGGCCCAGACU